rnacentral:rRNA from 1 species
GACGAACGCUGGCGGCGUGCUUAACACAUGCAAGUCGAACGGUAAGGCUCCAGCUUGCUGGGGUACACGAGUGGCGAACGGGUGAGUAACACGUGGGUGACCUGCCCUGCACUUCGGGAUAAGCCUGGGAAACUGGGUCUAAUACCGGAUAGGACCGCACCGUGAGGGUGUGGUGGAAAGUUUUUUCGGUGUGGGAUGGGCCCGCGGCCUAUCAGCUUGUUGGUGGGGUAAUGGCCUACCAAGGCGGCGACGGGUAGCCGGCCUGAGAGGGUGGACGGCCACAUUGGGACUGAGACACGGCCCAGACUCCUACGGGAGGCAGCAGUGGGGAAUAUUGCACAAUGGGCGGAAGCCUGAUGCAGCGACGCCGCGUGGGGGAUGACGGCCUUCGGGUUGUAAACUCCUUUCACCAUCGACGAAGGGUUUCUGACGGUAGAUGGAGAAGAAGCACCGGCUAACUACGUGCCAGCAGCCGCGGUAAUACGUAGGGUGCGAGCGUUGUCCGGAAUUACUGGGCGUAAAGAGCUCGUAGGUGGUUUGUCGCGUCGUCUGUGAAAUUCCGGGGCUUAACUCCGGGCGUGCAGGCGAUACGGGCAUAACUUGAGUACUGUAGGGGAGACUGGAAUUCCUGGUGUAGCGGUGAAAUGCGCAGAUAUCAGGAGGAACACCGGUGGCGAAGGCGGGUCUCUGGGCAGUAACUGACGCUGAGGAGCGAAAGCAUGGGGAGCGAACAGGAUUAGAUACCCUGGUAGUCCAUGCCGUAAACAGUGGGCGCUAGGUGUGGGUUUCCUUCCACGGGAUCCGUGCCGUAGCUAACGCAUUAAGCGCCCCGCCUGGGGAGUACGGCCGCAAGGCUAAAACUCAAAGGAAUUGACGGGGGCCCGCACAAGCGGCGGAGCAUGUGGAUUAAUUCGAUGCAACGCGAAGAACCUUACCUGGGCUUGACAUAUACAGGAUCGCGCCAGAGAUGGUGUUUCCCUUGUGGCUUGUAUACAGGUGGUGCAUGGUUGUCGUCAGCUCGUGUCGUGAGAUGUUGGGUUAAGUCCCGCAACGAGCGCAACCCUUGUCUUAUGUUGCCAGCACGUUGUGGUGGGGACUCGUAAGAAACUGCCGGGGUUAACUCGGAGGAAGGUGGGGAUGACGUCAAAUCAUCGUGCCCCUUAUGUCCAGGGCUUCACACAUGCUACAAUGGUCGGUACAGUGGGUUGCCAGUCCGUGAGGGCGAGCUAAUCCCGCAAAGCCGGUCUCAGUUCGGAUCGGGGUCUGCAACUCGACCCCGUGAAGUCGGAGUCGCUAGUAAUCGCAGAUCAGCAACGCUGCGGUGAAUACGUUCCCGGGCCU